rnacentral:rRNA from 1 species
UGAAGAGUUUGAUCCUGGCUCAGAUUGAACGCUGGCGGCAUGCCUUACACAUGCAAGUCGAACGGCAGCACGGGUGCUUGCACCUGGUGGCGAGUGGCGAACGGGUGAGUAAUACAUCGGAACAUGUCCUGUAGUGGGGGAUAGCCCGGCGAAAGCCGGAUUAAUACCGCAUACGAUCUACGGAUGAAAGCGGGGGACCUUCGGGCCUCGCGCUAUAGGGUUGGCCGAUGGCUGAUUAGCUAGUUGGUGGGGUAAAGGCCUACCAAGGCGACGAUCAGUAGCUGGUCUGAGAGGACGACCAGCCACACUGGGACUGAGACACGGCCCAGACUCCUACGGGAGGCAGCAGUGGGGAAUUUUGGACAAUGGGCGAAAGCCUGAUCCAGCAAUGCCGCGUGUGUGAAGAAGGCCUUCGGGUUGUAAAGCACUUUUGUCCGGAAAGAAAUCCUUGGCUCUAAUACAGUCGGGGGAUGACGGUACCGGAAGAAUAAGCACCGGCUAACUACGUGCCAGCAGCCGCGGUAAUACGUAGGGUGCGAGCGUUAAUCGGAAUUACUGGGCGUAAAGCGUGCGCAGGCGGUUUGCUAAGACCGAUGUGAAAUCCCCGGGCUCAACCUGGGAACUGCAUUGGUGACUGGCAGGCUAGAGUAUGGCAGAGGGGGGUAGAAUUCCACGUGUAGCAGUGAAAUGCGUAGAGAUGUGGAGGAAUACCGAUGGCGAAGGCAGCCCCCUGGGCCAAUACUGACGCUCAUGCACGAAAGCGUGGGGAGCAAACAGGAUUAGAUACCCUGGUAGUCCACGCCCUAAACGAUGUCAACUAGUUGUUGGGGAUUCAUUUCCUUAGUAACGUAGCUAACGCGUGAAGUUGACCGCCUGGGGAGUACGGUCGCAAGAUUAAAACUCAAAGGAAUUGACGGGGACCCGCACAAGCGGUGGAUGAUGUGGAUUAAUUCGAUGCAACGCGAAAAACCUUACCUACCCUUGACAUGGUCGGAAUCCUGCCGAGAGGUGGGAGUGCUCGAAAGAGAACCGGCGCACAGGUGCUGCAUGGCUGUCGUCAGCUCGUGUCGUGAGAUGUUGGGUUAAGUCCCGCAACGAGCGCAACCCUUGUCCUUAGUUGCUACGCAAGAGCACUCUAAGGAGACUGCCGGUGACAAACCGGAGGAAGGUGGGGAUGACGUCAAGUCCUCAUGGCCCUUAUGGGUAGGGCUUCACACGUCAUACAAUGGUCGGAACAGAGGGUUGCCAACCCGCGAGGGGGAGCUAAUCCCAGAAAACCGAUCGUAGUCCGGAUUGCACUCUGCAACUCGAGUGCAUGAAGCUGGAAUCGCUAGUAAUCGCGGAUCAGCAUGCAGCGGUGAAAACGAUCCCGGGUCUUGUACACACCGCCCGUCACACCAUGGGAGUGGGUUUUACCAGAAGUGGCUAGUCUAACCGCAAGGAGGACGGUCACCACGGUAGGAUUCAUGACUGGGGUGAAGUCGUAACAAGGUAGCCGUAUCGGAAGGUGCGGCUGGAUCACCUCCUUU